GACGAACGCUGGCGGCGUGCCUAAUACAUGCAAGUCGAACGAACUCUGGUAUUGAUUGGUGCUUGCAUCAUGAUUUACAUUUGAGUGAGUGGCGAACUGGUGAGUAACACGUGGGAAACCUGCCCAGAAGCGGGGGAUAACACCUGGAAACAGAUGCUAAUACCGCAUAACAACUUGGACCGCAUGGUCCGAGCUUGAAAGAUGGCUUCGGCUAUCACUUUUGGAUGGUCCCGCGGCGUAUUAGCUAGAUGGUGGGGUAACGGCUUACCAUGGCAAUGAUACGUAGCCGACCUGAGAGGGUAAUCGGCCACAUUGGGACUGAGACACGGCCCAAACUCCUACGGGAGGCAGCAGUAGGGAAUCUUCCACAAUGGACGAAAGUCUGAUGGAGCAACGCCGCGUGAGUGAAGAAGGGUUUCGGCUCGUAAAACUCUGUUGUUAAAGAAGAACAUAUCUGAGAGUAACUGUUCAGGUAUUGACGGUAUUUAACCAGAAAGCCACGGCUAACUACGUGCCAGCAGCCGCGGUAAUACGUAGGUGGCAAGCGUUGUCCGGAUUUAUUGGGCGUAAAGCGAGCGCAGGCGGUUUUUUAAGUCUGAUGUGAAAGCCUUCGGCUCAACCGAAGAAGUGCAUCGGAAACUGGGAAACUUGAGUGCAGAAGAGGACAGUGGAACUCCAUGUGUAGCGGUGAAAUGCGUAGAUAUAUGGAAGAACACCAGUGGCGAAGGCGGCUGUCUGGUCUGUAACUGACGCUGAGGCUCGAAAGUAUGGGUAGCAAACAGGAUUAGAUACCCUGGUAGUCCAUACCGUAAACGAUGAAUGCUAAGUGUUGGAGGGUUUCCGCCCUUCAGUGCUGCAGCUAACGCAUUAAGCAUUCCGCCUGGGGAGUACGGCCGCAAGGCUGAAACUCAAAGGAAUUGACGGGGGCCCGCACAAGCGGUGGAGCAUGUGGUUUAAUUCGAAGCUACGCGAAGAACCUUACCAGGUCUUGACAUACUAUGCAAAUCUAAGAGAUUAGACGUUCCCUUCGGGGACAUGGAUACAGGUGGUGCAUGGUUGUCGUCAGCUCGUGUCGUGGGAUGUUGGGUUAAGUCCCGCAACGAGCGCAACCCUUAUUAUCAGUUGCCAGCAUUAAGUUGGGCACUCUGGUGAGACUGCCGGUGACAAACCGGAGGAAGGUGGGGAUGACGUCAAAUCAUCAUGCCCCUUAUGACCUGGGCUACACACGUGCUACAAUGGAUGGUACAACGAGUUGCGAACUCGCGAGAGUAAGCUAAUCUCUUAAAGCCAUUCUCAGUUCGGAUUGUAGGCUGCAACUCGCCUACAUGAAGUCGGAAUCGCUAGUAAUCGCGGAUCAGCAUGCCGCGGUGAAUACGUUCCCGGGCCUUGUACACACCGCCCGUCACACCAUGAGAGUUUGUAACACCCAAAGUCGGUGGGGUAACCUUUUAGGAACCAGCCGCCUAAGGUGGGACAGAUGAUUAGGGUG
rnacentral:rRNA from 2 species